UCGUUUUAGCAAUGCAUAGACUAAAAUUUGGAAUGAUACAGAGAAGAUUAACAUGGCCCCUACACAAGGAUGACACACAAAUUUGUGAAGCAUUCUGUAUUUAA